rnacentral:lncRNA from 1 species
GCUUCUCGCAACGUUAGCCGCUUUUUUUUCUUCCCCCCCCCCUCGAACCGACUCCCUGCUUCUGUAUCUCCGCAGCGCGCCGCCGCCGCCGCCAGGAGAGCUACACCGAGCUGCGCCCCCUGCCCGCGUUCCGGGGACAUCUGUUGUGACACUCGACUUGCCUGUCUCUCCGAAGCCGGACACAGUCGGGCUGGGUGCGACGUCAGCGACCGUGUGAAUCCCCCCGGUUCCCGCGGCUCUGCCGAGCGCAGCGCCUCAGCAGGACCGGGCGGGCGCGGCAGACACCGACCGAGGGCCCCGCCCGACAGCGUCCCCACCCCGGCUUUAUUUUCACUGCAUUUUUGCUUUUUUUGCGCGGGAGGGACGGAAGCAGGAAAUGUGGCGACGCCCUUGGGUCGCGGUGUCGGGAGCGGAGAGCUAGCUGACCCCCCCCCUCGAGCCCUCGCCCUCCCCGGCGACGUAGCAGCGCGGACUCGCUCGGGCCUCCCCCCAGGAGGAGCAGUAGCCGUUAGCCACAAGCGCGAGGCGAAGCACACCACCUGUCAUUCAACAGGUCAGACACAGAGGAGAGGAGCCCGGCAAGACAGGUCAGGUGUUUCCCCCCGCGCGCCCGACGUCAUCCGCCUCCUCCGGAGCCUCCGCCAUGGCGCCAAAGAAGCCGCGGCCUGGUCCGCUCAACAUCGCGCCCUCCGGGGACGGACAGCUGAGCACCGGGGGCCUGGACGCCUCGUCCGACUCGUGCCUGCAGUUCCUCCGUGGUAGCGAUCACACAGGGUGAAGACACCACGUUUACGCUCUGAAUUGGUCAACAUGAGCACUUAAUCACAGUUUGAGAACUCGGUCAGUGUUUUUUACUUUGUUUUUCUCACUUGGUACUCGUUGUUUUAAUGUGACUUGGCUUACCAUAAAGGUUA